CUCCAUUUCCAGGAGGAAAACACGCCACGUUUCUAGCUCUCCGCGAGGCACAAUCGAUGAUGAUUAUCCGCCAUUCCGUAACCCUGGUUCCAGUGGGCAGAAUCGCUUUCCUCAAACCUGUCAAUUUUUUGGGUGUUUUUUGGCCAUUCGAAAUUCAUCACUAGGUUUCCCAAAGGUGGCCACCAGUUAGGUCACUUUAACUUUUUGCACUAAUGAUAUAGUGAUCAGAAUUUGGAGUUGCCUUUUGGAGACAAUUUAAUGUAAGAAUUGCGGGCAUUACCUAAACUAUCAGCAAUAUUGGUUGGUGAGAGUGUAAAAUAGCCUGCCUCAUUAGCAUUAACCAUUUCAUCAAUUUUUUCACAUAAACAUCGGCACAGUAUUCUAUUAUAGACAUCUUCAGGUUUUGUACGCAGAAAAUGUGACCACGUAUAGGUUAGGAGUUCAAAAAACUUAUUGAGAAAAACUAAUAUGUGUGACUGUUCAUCAACAAAAUCACUCUGUGUUGUACUGCACGAAUAUUAUAAAAGUGCAUACCAAUUACAUAGGGCUAAUAAAGCAGUGUCAUGCACCGAUAAAGUUAGACUUUUACGCGGUGGAAUCGGAAAUUAUGAGUGUUGUCCCGAUGGAGCAAGAAUUCCUGAAUGCGGUGCAAACUUGAUAGGGCCAAAAUAUUCAAAAGAAAAGAAUGAGAUAAGGUUUCUAAAAGGAAAAAAUCGUGAGUAGAUAGGUCAUUUUGGAAUGGGCGAAAGUCGAGUUUUUCCAAAUCUUCUUUCUUGGAUAAAAUUUUUUUAGGGAUAGGUAAGUUUUAGCAAGAGAGAAUAGGGAUGGAUUUUCGAAGGAAGUCCUCUAAAAUGCGUCUCAACUAUAACAUUAGAAACAUUGAAGUUUUCAAGAUUAGUGUGAAUGGAUACGCCAUGAGAAGUUCCAGAAACCUGCCAAGUCGAAGCUGCAUCUAUACUUGAUGAUUACGUAUAACGUCAGCGCAAAACUUGUAAAUGUCCGCAGACGAAGAGAAAUAACGAAUAAUGAUAAUUAUAAGAGAUGUAAUAGAAGUGAAAAAAGUGUGACAAAUAUAAUAUAAUAAAUUAAA